CACGUAGGGUGCAAGCGUUGUCCGGAAUUAUUGGGCGUAAAGGGCUCGUAGGCGGUCCGUCACGUCGGGAGUGAAAACUCGGGGCUCAACCCCGAGCCUGCUUCCGAUACGGGCGGACUAGAGGUAGGUAGGGGAGAACGGAAUUCCUGGUGUAGCGGUGGAAUGCGCAGAUAUCAGGAAGAACACCCGUGGCGAAGGCGGCUCUCUGGGACGGUACUGACGCUGAGACGCGAAAGCUAGGGGAGCAAACAGG
rnacentral:rRNA from 1 species